ensembl:lncRNA
CCACUGGAGAUCAGCCCUGCUAGGGAAUUCUGGGCUACAGAGUAGAACAUUUUCAGAGUGAUUCUUCCACUGAAAGGGCAGGAUGUGCAAGCGGUUACUAACAGAUUCCUCAUCCGUUAUUGGCUGAUACUGCUUUGGGGAGAUUAACUCUACUUUUCCUGCUUGUCUGAGCUCAGGUUGAUCACGCGCUGUAGGUGCUUGUCAUAGCAGACCUCAGAGUUAGAGAUGAGAAGCAAGAAAGAAAAGCAGGCCAGCCCUUGAGACAGCCCCGGUUUGGGCUUCUUGUUGUUCAGUCGCUAAGUCAUGUCCGACUCUUUUCGACCCCAUGGACUGCAGCACUCCAGGGAGAGAAUUUCACAGCUCAUUGACUGCUCUGACUCCUAAUCUACACCGGAGGAAACAAUGUUGCAGCUCAUCAAAUGCAAUCAGCUGCUAAUUGAAAGGAAAUGGAAUUUUACAAUUACAGGCCACCUUUCAGUGCUCAGGAUUUCUAAGCCUUCUCCCCACCCUCCUUGGCCAGCUCAGCACUGGCAGGAGCACUUGACAACCUGCUGGAGACUUCCCUGAGAACUGCAUUUAGGAUCUGGCCCAGAGCCGCAAAAAGGGAAGCAGCAUCCUUGCCAGUUCCUAGACUGUCCUUCAAGGCUCAGUGCAAAGGGAAGAGGCUGGGGUUGGGCAUCCACAGACCUAAGUGAGUGUGCUGGCUCACCUUCCCGCCGCCCCUUUGACUUGAACAAGGUAUGCCCUUGUUCUUCCCCGAGCCCCACUUUCCUUCUCUCCAAAAUCAAGAUUUAAUGAUUUCCAAGGUUCUCAUUGGGCUUCCUUGGUGGCUCAAUGGUAAAGAAUCUGCCUGCAAUGCUGGAGAAAUGGGUUCAAUUACUGGGUUGGAAAGAUUCGCUGGAGAAGGAAAUAGCAAUCCGCACCAGUAUUCUUGCCUGGAAAAUCGCAUGGACAGAGGAGUCUGGAAGGCUACAGUCCAUGGGGUUGCAAAAGAGUCAGACAUGACUGAGCAACUAAACAACAAAACAACAGAGCUUAUUAGCUCCGAGGAUUCUGUUCACCCUAUUCCUGCUACUAUUCCCAUCCAGUGGACAACAUCUAAGUGGACAUACUCUUGCUGGCCCAGAUAUCUGCUUUUGCAAAUGCUACCAGGGAAAACACUUUCACAACUAGGAGGAGGCAGAAAAUGCUUUCCAAGCGUUCCUCAAAUCCUGACUUUUAUGCUGCAGGAAUUAACAAACGUAUUUCUUGUUGGCAAAAUUGUACUGAUUGUAAUGGAUUCUAUUUUGGUUAAUAAAGAUAUGCUUGAGCCUAGUUAUAAUGAUUUAAAAAUCCACAGUCUGAAACAGCAAUUACUUUUGUACCAAUAUAAUAUUUAUC